rnacentral:misc_RNA from 1 species
GUUGAUGUUGAUGUUUGUCGCCGAUCGCCGAUAUCGAAUCGAAUUGGGCAUUUUGAAAUAAUACUGUCAUCUAGUGGCUUUUUGGGUGAUAUUAAAUAUAUUAUUCCUUGAUGAGUUUAUUUAUAAGUUAUUACUUAUUCAUGAAUUAAAUAUAGUUUGGUGUGUAACUGUGAAUAUCCCUUAAAUCUAAAUGAUUAUUUCAAAACUUAUGUAUGGAAUCAGUAGUCAAUUUACCUUACUACUUGUUUUUGAACCGUCAACUCAUGCAAUAUUUAAAGAAUUAAUAGAUUUAAAGCUACUGUAGUCGAUAAAAAUAUGAAAUAAUAUUCAUUAAUAAAAAAUAAAAGCCAUCUUUACUCAUGGAUUAAGUUAAAAUUUCUCACAAAAAGUGAAUCAACUCUUUGAACUCUGAAAGGGUGAAGUGGAACACAGCUUAUAAUCGAAGAACUGUGGCUAAAUAGCGUGCAUGAUGGCGGUUGAGGGCGGCGAGGCAACUAGCUGUGGCAUGGAGUCUGAGGGUGUCGAGGGCCAAGAGAAGGACACCGCAGACGGUACAACCCCCACCAGCACCAAUACCCCCACCACCACCACAAAUAGCACCACUUCCAAUAGCACAACCACCAACAAUGAAGAGGUGGUGUCCAAGACUUCGCUACUCAGUGAAAUUAGUACGGCAACUACGGACAGUUCUACUGGCACCACUACGGAAACCAGUGCUAGCACGACAACUGUGACUCCUACGACUAAUGGUACUAGUACAACAAGUGGUGCGAAUACUACGGCCAGUAUUACUGGCACAAAUACUACGGCCAGUAUUACUGGCACAGAUACUGCGACCAGUAUUACUGACAAAGAUAUUGCGACCAGUAUUACUGACACAAAUACUACGGCCAGUAUUACUGGUACGAAUACUACAUCCAGUAUUACUGGUACAGGUACUAGCACCUCUACGGCUAGUAGUUCUACCACAGUGACUGGACCCAAUACAGCCAUCGCUACUACUACGGUUACUGGCAACAAUACUACAGCCAGUGCUACUUGCACAAGUAGCACCACUACUACUAGUAGCACGGUGUCUGCUACUGCCACUAUCACUGGAACGGGGACAGCCGCAGACGGCGAACGAGAAGAGGAAGCCGAAGAAGAACAUGAAGAGGAUGGAGAAUUUGUUGAAGAGGACUUUGACGAAAGCAAACCAAAGCCCGGCUGCACGACUGGCCGCGUUGUCACGCUGCAAAUGCUGCUGGCUGCCGACAUCUUGCAACCCGGCGAGGGAACCAUGUCCAUCGAGUAUUUGGGUCAGCGAUUCAUGGGUGAUCUUCUUCCGGAUGGAAAAAUAAAAUCUCUUGAGACUGAUAUAGUGUUUGCGUCGCCCAGCGCCUGGGCGAUUCACUGCAAACGGAUAAUAAACCCCGAAAAGAAAUCUGGCUGUGGAUGGGCAUCAGUGAGGUAUAAAGGGACCAAAUUAGAAAUUUACAAGACUAGAUACUUCAAUAAAAAAAUCUCUGAUCAGAACAAAGAGAACGAAAACACUGAUGAAGAAGAAAUUGAAAUGAAAGCGCCAGCACCAUAUCUCUUGAAAGAGAUAAAAGACAUUCCUCCUCCUGCUCCCGUGCCUCGAAUUGUUGUCAAACAUAGUGUUCUUGGAAAUAGGUCGAGUUUACAUGAUGGCAAUUUAUUGGUGGAAAGCACUCCAUUUUCAACAAUUGGGAAAAUUCAACCGUUUCUUGUGUCAUUGGCAACGAAUGCCGCCCUUGUCAUGGACUUGCAUUGUCAUCUAACCACAUCGGAAGUGGUGGGUUAUCUAGCUGGCUACUGGGACGUCAAUGGACACAACCUAGCGAUCACACACGCGUUCCCGUGCCGCUGUCGGCUGGGAGACAAGGAGUCGGCGCCCAUGAUGGAGGCCGAGAUCUGCAAGGCACUGGAGCAGCGGCGACUCACUCUGGUCGGCUGGUACCACUCCCACCCGUACGCCCCCGCCACCCCCACCAUCCGCGACAUCGACUCCCAACUAGAGUACGAAAUCAAAAUGAAGGGCAACAACGAUGCCAGCUACACGCCUUGCGUUGGCUUCAUCUGCUCGCCUUACCACAAAGAAAACACGUCACUGGAGUCGGUGAUGACCUGCUAUUGGGUGAUUCCUCCUCCUGAGAACAAGCCUAAUGAGUAUGGCAAGCCAAUGAUGAUGUCCUACAGUGUCCUUCAAGACCAGUAUCUUUCAAAAGACGCUCUAACAGAAAUGAAAAAGUGUGCCGAAUUCUACAAAGUGGAUCAGGACUUUGUGAAUUUCUCUGAGAAAUUUAAAAAUGGCGUGUCAUUUUUAGAGAAACUGAAGACGACACUGAACUCGAAAAUGCCCCGAGACCAGGCAGACGGCAGUCUGUGGAACUACCUGAGCGAGCUGCUGUGUGCGGGCAGCACAGGAGUCUCCACACCGCCCAAGAUCACCACCCCUCCCCCGCACCCGCUCUCCCUCCCCUCCCACUCCUUCCUGGUGCCAUCCUCGCUGCCCAUCAACAUCCCCAGCACCAGCAAGAGUGCAGGGGGGUCCCUGCUGGGGGCCGAACUGGCCAAUGCCUUGUUUGGCAGUGGCAAGUUUCCGUCCCCUGCCUCAUUGAUGAGCUUGUCGUCGAUCUUCCCAGCACCGCAGCCGGUGUCAAAUCACAGUACGAAGAGUAUCCUCAAAUCGUCACCGUCUCCCGCCAAAAUCUCGAAGACUGAGGACAGUGGCACGUCAACCUCCGUAUCGUUCCCCAUCCACACCAACACAUCAAAACAUCACUCGCUGCAGGUCUCUUCCCAGCUCCAAUCCCAGCUGCACUCGCAUCUGCAGUCUCAACUGCAGUCACAGUUGCAUUCCCAGCUGAAGUCGCAGCUGCACUCUGUGGCGCACAUGCAGAAUCAAACACAAACCUCCACGUCACAGACUGUGCCCACAUUACCCUCCUACAUGAGCAGUUUGGACAAGAAUUGUACAGUAACUAGCAAACAGUCCAGCUGAACUUGUGGAGGCGGCAGUGCGGAAUCAAUGGUAAACAUUGCAUUGACGAACAAAUCCAUUACUGCAUUGAUAUCACAUUGAUACAAUGUACUUAUUAUAAUGUAAUGCUAUUACAUUACUAUCGAUGUGAUUUACAAUUAUUCACUUUGGUAAUAUGAGUAUGUGCUUUAUUAGAAUUAUUAGGGUUUAGACUAUUGUAGUAACAUUUUGCAAUAAAUUGGACCAUUAGAGUUUUGUGUGAAAUAAUAAUAAUUGUUGAAGAAUGUUGACAGAAAUGUAGUGUGUCAUACAACGAUAUGAGAUGUAUCAGGUGUGACCUGAGUGCUAUUGACACCAAACCUGAGCCAGCCAGGUCACUCCAUAUUUAUUUAUUCAAAAAGCAUGAACUUUGACCUUUGCUAGUGGUUAAGGCUACCUGGUUAUAUUCCCCUCCUAAGUGAUAUUCACUUGUUCGAACAACUUACAUAAUGAUUUUUUAUGUAUUUGAUAUUAAAUCCACAAGUUUAGGUGAGCUAUGAUUAAAAUAAAUGCCAAGUGGAAUGGUAAACGGCUUAUUGAUAGCUUAUCAAAAUUUUAAGCCAUACAAGAGGUAUACUUAUCUAGUAAUCGACUGACUAUUCUACGGUGGCUCACCAAAACAUCGAAAUCAUUGAAGGCUGUGUCGCCAAAUUUUUCACAUUCCAGUUUUCUAUAGAGGAAAUGCUCAUUUUAAUAAGUGUGAGAAUAGGUAGUUUGAGUACAAUUCUCAAACUUUUGAAUAUUAACUUUUUAAAUUUUUUAUUGUGGAUGAUGCCCACAUAAGCUUUUAGUUUGUGCGUGGGUAAUAGAAAGUUUGUGGAUGAUUUGAUGCUAUGAUCAAACGUCCAUGCCUUCCGGCGGGAUUCAAACCCACGACCAGGCAGCACUAGCAGACUGAAGGGUGCCCCAAUCAAAAUCAUUCGAUAGAUAACACAUAACAAACGUUGAAAUAAUAUGAGCAAACAUAAUAUAGGCCUAUGAGUUGUAUGACAUAUUCAUGUCAAUUGAAACCCAGCAAUUCAUCGUCUUUCUUGAAACGUUUCAAAAUGUUUACAGAAGUAAAGAGCAUGUAAUUUAUUGGAUUAGCUGAAUUCUAAUAGAUAUAUUAUUUUGGUAUGUUUUUAUAUUUGUGAUGAAUGACUGUGUAUCAAUAGCUAAUGUUAAGGUAGUAUAAAGUGUCAUAGCAUAUUGUAUUAUCCGUUCUGAUAUCAAUGGAUUUUUAUUCCAUACCUGAGCGCAGGAACGCUCAGGGUAGUUGUUUAAAAUUAAUGAUCUUUCACUUCUAGUUUAAGCUGGGAAGAAUUGGUUGGAAGUGUGUGGAGCAGGUCAUCCCACUCUUCAAAUCAAUUAGUUUCCUGUUUUUGAGCAAUAUAUCUUUCAAUUCAUGAGAUAAAAAAUUGUAUAUUGUUAAUCUUUUAUUGAAAACUUAUAUUUUUGAAUAUCAAUUAAUAUUAGUAGUAAAAUCUUCGAUUAAUAUUCUGCGGAUCAAAUAAUAUUGUCAUGUACUUAUCUUGUUUCAAAAAUUGCACUGUCUAUUUUAUUUUAAUUACGGAUUUUUCUAUCUUCUUUGUUCUUUUGAAUAAGAAAUUCUCUCAUCACAUUUAGAUCGAUGAAGUCUCUGAACUGUAUGUUUCCAGAUAUUUGUGUAGAUAUUUACAUUAAUUUAUACAAAAUCUCAAACUUAUCUCACAAUAUGAUUGUGAAUAUUAAUUUUUCUAUCAUAACGUGUCUUAUAUAGCUAGUUGUAUAUAGUUUUUUCUAUAUUAUUGGACUCAUUUAGUGAUGAUAUAAGUGUUUGAUAUUGUGAUAUUUUCCAACUGAUUCUUUUCAACAGUAUUAUAAUUUUACAGUUAAUUUAUAGUUUUAUAAAGACACAAUUUUUCAAAUCUUAGAUUAUGAAAUGUAUGUAUAGCAACAAGUAGAGGAGAACGACUCAAAAGACCAACGUUCAACGGUCAACAAAAGAUAAAUUAGAUUUGAAGCUUUGUAAGGAAUUAUAACUAAUGUUGUUUUCAAAUAAAUCAUUUUCACAAGACAUAA